ensembl:miRNA
CCUGACCUUCAGUCCAGGGCUGAGUCAGCGGAGCCCCGAGUGGCUUCCCUGGCUGGCACCUGGACGUAGGCUAUUUCCGU